GGAGGAAAAACAUGAUGAGCGUUAUCUCAUCGGCAACGCGUCGUCAUCAGAGAGGGUUGAGAGAGAGAGAGAGAGCGAGCGAGAGAAGCAGGAAGAUGAUAGCGCUCGGGGUCUCGUCGCCGUCGUCGUCUUCCUCAGUGCAUCACGUCCUCGCUUCUCUUGGGAUUUCACCUCAACUGCAUUCAUGGAGGGCUUCCUCAUUCCGUGGAAUCCGACUGGAGGCUGGCGUCCGAACUGCGACCCCGCUGUCGUAUCGCAGUGGCGCCAGCGGCGGACGGAUGGUGGUGAAUAUGGCGAAGCGGGAGGAGGAGAUGAAGGAGAUUCGGGCGAAGACGACGGAGGAGAUCAACGAGGAGGUGAUCGACCUCAAAGGGGAGCUCCUCAUGCUCCGCCUCCAGAAAUCUGCACGGAACGAGUUCAAAUCCAGCGAGUUCGGACGCAUGCGCAAAAGGAUUGCUCGAAUGCUGACGGUAAAAAGGGAGAUAGAGAUUGAAGAGGGGAUAAACAAAAGAUUGUCAAGGAAGCUUGACAGGAAAUGGAAAAAGAGUAUUGUGGUCAGGCCACCUCCUUCCCUAAGGAAGAAGCAAGAGGAGCAGAAAGCUGCAGAAGCAGAAAAGUCAUCAUAGAUCAACUUCAUGUAUCAAGUAACAAGCAUAUUUCUCAUGAAUCCUGAUGUAUUCCUGCUGAAUUUAUUAAUGCUGUCUAGGUGCCAUGGUACUUGAACUCAGUUCUUUUCUUUUGCAGUGAUGAAUCCUGUUAUUAGAAAUUGUCUACCAGAGUUGUCUUGAUCACAUCAUACUGUAGUGUUAUUUUACCAUUAUUUCUUGUGUCAUAUGUUGUUUGUCAAUUCCAUGACAUUUAUAUUCUAAAACCUAUAACAACCAUCAUUUUCCUCGUUAAUUUUGGUCUACAUGAUCCUUUUUUGAAGCCUAAAUACAACCCGUGUUAGCAUGAUAAUUGUUUUAUGCACAUUUGAAAUGUUUGUGAAGAUGAUUGAGCAAAAGAUGCUCUUAUAUGGCAACACUCUGUUUUCCUUUAUCCUUCUGCCUGUUCUUGGGCAGAACAGGACUCAUUAAAGUGUAAGACAAUACAAGAAACUAAAAGCCUGAGUUUAGCUGUCAAUUAGAUUAGCUUGAACCUGCAAUUUGGAAGUCUUGUGUCCAAUUGGAAUUAUAUAUAUAGAACAUCCAUUAAUAGACCUCGGAAUGAAGAUCCUUUGAGGUUAAUAGAUCGUUUUUUUUUUUUUUUUUUCACUUUUUCACAGCUCACGCAAGCGCGAGCUCUGUUGAAAAUUCUUUGAGUAAUAUUUUUUUUGAAUGUUAAUUGAUAGGGAUAAAUGUGACUAGGAUAACUUGAGAAAACACUUGAUUGAUAUUAUCCAAGUCAUGUUACCAGCAUUGAUUGUUAAGCUUCUACUAUAUACGCUUCUGUAAAUGAUUUUGAUGCACAUCCAACUGAAUCACUAAUUGCAUCAGAUGAUGAUGACCCAAGCUAUUGCAUGAAAAUACAUAAUGUCCCUUUCUGAUGUUGCUAUUCUUCUACUCCUAGCUAAGGUUUCCUUCUUACAGUGACCAACUUUGUUAAGGUUGAUGCCAAGAUUGGUUUUCUGACAACUGACAUAAGAAACUUACUGUGAUCCCCAACACAUGGGGCACGGAUUAGGUAGUGGAAGUUUCUCUUUUGUUGCUAUAUUCUAAUUUCCUUGACAACCCCAGUUCACAUACCUUUGUGAAAGAGUUCAACAGAAAAAUACAUAUGCUUGGGACAAGAAAGAUAGAGUCAUGACUAGUUAUUUCUAAUAUUAGGAUUUCGUAGCUGAAAUAAACUUCAUUGUAUACCGAUCUGUUUCAUUGUAUAUGCACUGAUUCCAAAUUUCUUAUUUUUGAGUUUUGAUGUAUAAUAAAAUUUAGAGACAUAGCAUAGAACUCCCAACCAAGUAUGUAUGAAGAACAGAGGAACCUUCUGUGUACAUUGACAAGUGUUCAAGAACCUGUAUAACGUAUUGGAUCAGUGCCAAUUAGCAAUCAGCAAUGCAUGCAUGAGGCAGAAUCUACAUGGGUAUCCGCUUGAAAUUUUUAGAUGAACUCGCUCAUAAAUUGGUCAUCAAGCAUGAUCUCAGGCCAGCAGAAAGGAGUCCCAUUUCCAUCACAGCUAGUAAUACUACAACCAUCCCCCUGGUUGGCAACCGAGACGUCAGUGAGAGGAGGAAGAGGUGGCUCAAAGAAGGAUGCCAAUUGGUUGCUGCUAUCAAUAUUCUGAGGAGGAUUGUGAGAAGGGAAAGACGAAGUCAUCUGAGAACUAAACAGGCUUAUGGUCUCCAAGUCACUACAGUUGUAGCAGUUAUUUGAGGUGGCACUGACCGACUGUGUCAGGCAUUGAAAAUACUGGAGCUUUGCAGCCUGGAUUGCCUCCAACACCUGGAGCCGUGCAGCGUGGUCGUCGUCCUGUGGGUGGCUGUUCAUGAGCUGGUGGAGCUGGAGCAGAGCCAACAGCUGGGGAAGGGCAGUGAAGAAGUCGGUCCUCGGGCGGUGCGUCAUCGGGUCAAAACCCAUUUGGAUCAGCUUCUUCUUGAGGUGAGUGUGCCACAAGUUCUUGAUCUCGUUGUCGGUCCGCCCGGGAAGGUGCAUUGCGAUUGCAGACCACCUGAAUGGAUCAGAGUUCCUCUAGGUUUAGAUUUGAUUCAGAAUGGUCACAAGAGCACAUGUAGUUAGUACAGUAAGAGAGCUGAUAAGUACUUGUUGCCUAGGAUGGAAUGGAGGUUGAGAAUGGUUUGCUCUUCUUCUGGGGAGAAGUUGCCUCUCUUGAUGUCUGGCCUCAAGUAGUUGGUCCAUCUGAGCCUGCAGCUCUUGCCGCAUCGAUUAAGUCCUGCAAGAGAGAAGAACACCAAACAUACAAGGCUGUAAUACAUAAGAGAAAGAGAGAGAGGUACCCACCUGCAAGUUUUGGGAGUGCUCUCCAGCUGCCAUGGCCAUGCUUUUGAAUGUAUUGGACCAGCUUCUGGUCUUCUUCAGGAGUCCAGGGACCUUUCUUAAGGCCAUGCUCAUCACAGCAGGGAGAUCUCCCCAUUGAAACCCUAAGAGGAGACUGGGUGGUGGUGGGUUGGAGAGUGCACAUUCCUACCAAGAGAUGGCUUGCUCAUAUAUACACUUCUGUAUCUUAGCCUGAGCUCACAAUAUUUCUCCAUCGGACCAAAGUGAUCUUAGCCCUUGGACCGAAGAAAACAUGGCAUUCUUCCAUCAGUGACCACAGCGGAUUUACUUCCACAGGUGAUGCAAGAAUCAAAAUGCUACUUUCUGGUAUGCAUAUAAGCCUCAAAGAUAGCAGCAGUGAUGUGCAAUGGCAGGCUCAGGCCCAGUAGUUCAUAAACUGGGAACUCAACCAACCGAUCUACCCUCUCCUACUACUCUUUAACUUUGGGGACCAGGAAGUCAAAAGAUUAGGUGACAAGUUGGCAAUAUUGCAUAUCCAGGUCUUUCAUUAAUAUAUCAAGGAACUCUCAGUGGUCUUCUCCAAGGGUUGCCAUCUCUGAAGAUAUGACUUCAAGUAAGUACAAGGAACUUGUUUUAAGAGACAUGCACAGUUUGGUUUCCUGUGUGCAUCCUUGUGAGCUGACACUGUUACAUAUUAAUUAGCAGAAGGCACUCCGUUUGUAGGAAACAAACUUGCUAAGGACUUCAUUCUGCCUGGAGACAGUAUGCCAUGCAGCAUCACUCACUUUGAUUCUAUAUAUCUCCAAAGGAAUGAGGAAUGAGAUGUGGACAGAGGUAUCAUUUCGUUUAACUGAAGGUUUUACAUGCAUGCCAAGGAGAUGUGGACAGAGGAAGGUACCACACUUUUUGACCAUGAAGUAGUAUUAGUGAUGGGGUUGGUGAAGCCAACACCAAAUACCUCCAUUCUCUCUUUUCAGUAUGAGCCUUUAUGACAAUCUUCAAAGGUGACACACUUUUUCCUCUCUCAAUGUUUCCUCCCCACAAGGAGGUGGGAAUAGGAUAAUAAGAAGAUUACUACUAGUGUCAAUGAAACUAUAGUCAUCUUUUGCAUGCAUCUUUGUAUUAUCCUUGACUUGGAUCAUUUGGUGCUGGCAACAAGUCAAGCUAUAUGCUAAACCCAAUGGUGGACAAAAUCCAUAGGGCUUCUGAUUUCA